GCUGAGGUCGCAUAACCCGGUAUUGCGGCAGGUUGCUAACCUGUUGGGGCGAAAGUCCCGUGUGAGUUCAAAUCUCACCCUCGGCG
rnacentral:tRNA from 1 species